UCGUUGACGCUGCAUCGAAGAGGCCAGGGAACAGAAGAAAGAAGACAUGCACUAAACACCAGGGGGUCCAACCACGUCAAAACGGUAGAGGAGUAGGGGCCGAAACCGGACGUGGUUCCUCCUGAUGACGUCUUGAGCUAACUGGAUCCUAUAAAGGAGCUGUUGUGGUAGCAGACCACGAAACAUAGUUCAAAUUCCUCCACUCCUGCGCCGCCCAGGAUAACAUUUCUCAGCAACUGUCAAAGUUUUUGAUGACGUUAAAGGAUGUUUUGUUUCCCUUCCUCUUUGAGUUCAUUGCGUACCAAACAGGGACGGAUUUUCUUUCUUCUCUUCUUAUUUGUGUCUCUGUCAUCAACGAAGACCCGACAUCAUCUAUAGCCAAAGCUGGUUUUUGUAUUUGGCUGUACAGAAAUGCGUAUGUCUGCACAAUGAAAACCAACCCCCAUCUUUUUCGUGCACUCGCUCUCCCGUGAAAUCCGGCUUUGUGCAGCUCCUGGCGAAUAGCUUUUGUGGAAACUGGGUUCUCGAGGUGGUCAUUAAGCUCUGCAGUAAUUUUGGGAGAUGUACAUGGCCGAAUACUCAUGGUUUUCCACUAUGAUAUCUUUUCGACGAGAUGGAAUCUUCCGAUCAGUCAGAACAGUGAAUUUCCAGAGGAUGAUAACUUUAUUCUGGACAACGUAUGAUGGUUUUUGUUCUAACCAAUUCCCUUUGUGAGAAGAAUUAGGAAAAGAAUUAGAAGUUUUGCAGGCGGAUAUAUAAAUUGAAACAAACAAUUUGUUAAAAACAUCUGAUACAUUUGUGGUGAAGGAAUUAGGUUUAAAAGACUUUACAAGUUAAAAUUGAGUCGUCAGUGAGAACAAUGGUGGAAAA